GUGCACUCACCAGUCCUCCAUCUGUAAGGGCAUACCCUUCUAUAGAAGUACCUUGCCCUGCUGAGAAUUAAAAAGAAAAUUUUAUAUUCGAGUGCUAUUUCUUUUGUGGCACCGAAACUUUACUUAUAACAAUUUGGGGGCUCAUCCGGGAUUACAUUCCCCUCCGGGGGUGGUCUCUGGUUCUCUCUUGUGAGGAGGUGCACCCCACCCCACUGUGGCGGCCUCAGGGGUGAGAAAUCAAGACCCACCCAGUGUGAAGAAUAACCUGAGCUCUCAGCUACAUGGAAAGAAACUGGCUAGCAACCUAGCUUAAAGCAUCCUCCAUAAGGGCCACACAAGUGUGUGCAUGGACCGAGGAAAAGACACCAUGGGAGCCGGUAAAGUAUUUCCUUGGUGGUUGGGAGCAAGGUAAGAAAGCCGUGGCAGGGGGUGGUGAAGUACUCCUUGGUCAGGGUGGCUUAGAGGUUAAAAAGAGGUGAGACAUCCCCAUUGGCAGGGACUGAACCUCACACAAACCUCCAGUAAUAGAAAAGGCAAGUAUGUUCCAGUGGUGGAAAUUGAACCUCACCCCGAAAGGCAAGAAAUUUCCAGUGGGGGGAAUUGAGCCUCACCCCAAAAGGUGAGAAAUUUCCAGUAAGGGAAAUUGAACCUUGAACUCUACCCCAAAACCAUCAAGAUGGGAAAUACCCCAAGCAAGACAGGGAGCAAGAAGGAUAAAGAUGGUAACAAAGAUAUCCCCCCAGAUAGCCCCCUAGGUCUCAUGCUAAAAUACUGGAAAGAUAAUGAAAGGAUAAUGAAAGGAUUAAACAUAGGAAAAAGCAACAAAUGAUAAAAUAUUGCUGUUUUAUUUGGACUCAGGGACCCAUCCUCAGACCCUCAAUCUUCUGGCCAAGGUUUGGAUCAAAUGAGGGUGUAAUGUGUCAGCUUCUAAUCUGAUACAUUAAUGAUAAAAGUCCAGUGUCCCAAGAAGAACUAGGCUAUGCCCUUUGUUGGAGGGAAGGACCUGCCCUUCUUUUUCCCUUAAAAACAGAUAGGGAAGAACCCAAUCUAGCACAUCAAAAUUAAAAGUCAGAGGAGCCAGCUCUCAUGCCUAAAGACUCCAGUGCAUGGGAUCCCCUAGACUAUCUUCCCCCAUUCAGUGUCCUCAGUCUUUCCCCUCAGACAGCCAUUGCCGCCUCAGAUCCCUUUCCAAAUUUCCCCUCUACUCACGUUGUCCCUCCUCCUUAUAACCCUGACUCUUGGGAAUUACUGUCCCACCAGCCUGUUCCCUCCCAACCUAAAUAUCCCUCUCCAAAAGGACUCUAGUGUGAGGUAGAACAAUGUAAAAAAGAUAUUCAGAAUUUCCCAUUUCUCUCUGUACCUAAGAGGUCAGCCCUGACCCUCUUCCCUUUGAAAGAGGUACCACGAGGUGGGGAGGGCCAUUGGCUUUGUAAAUGCUCCCUUAACCAGUUCAGAAGUCUGGAAUUUUAAAAAGGAGCUUAAACCACUACUAGAUGACCCUUAUGGAGUGGCAGACCAAACUGACCAAUUCUUAGGACCUCAGUUAUACACUUGGGUGGAGUUAAUGUCCAUCUUGGGCAUCCUCUUUUCAGGGGAAGAAAGGAGUAUGAUUCACAGGGCUGCUAUGGUAGUUUAGGAAUGUGAGCACCCUCCUGGUGAAAACUUUCCUACCGCAGACCAGAAAUUCCCUGCCCCUCGAGACCCCCAGUGGGACAAUAACGAUGCAGGUCACUGGGAAAAUAUGCAGGAACUAAGGGAGAUGAUAAUAAAAGGAAUUUGGGAAUCAGUACCCUGAACCCAAAAUCUUUCUAAAGCAUUUGUUAUACAACAGGAAAAGGAUGAAGGGCCUAUGAGAUUCCUAGACAGACUGAGGGAGCAAAUGAGGCAAUAUGCAGGCCUCAAUUUGGAUGAUCCCUUUGGGCAAGGAAUGUUGAAAUUCCAGUUUGUCACUAAAAGUUGGCCAGACACUUCAAAAAAGUUGCAAAAGAUAGACAAUUGGGAAGACCGUCUGCUAAGUGAGCUCCUCAGGGAAGCUCAGAAAGUAUAUGUGAAAAGGGAUGAAGAAAAACAGAAACAAAAGACAAAACUUAUGUUUUCCACCUUCCAACAGAUGGCUCCAAACCCAGGUACUUCUAGACAGAGUUUCCAGGGAGCCAGAAACUAUAAAGGGUCUAAACCCUAUUUUAAAGGACCCAGCCUCCAUCUGGAGGACCAAGGUCCAAGUUUACCAGGCCCCCUAAAGAGUAUGGGGGAGCAAAGUUAAAGAAUCCCAGAACUAAGAGGAAGGAAGGACAAGAUAAGUGCUAUAGAUGUGGAAGAACAGGCCACUUCAAGAGAGGAUGUCCUGAACUAAGAAAGGAGAAAGAAGCCCUUCCACUCAUGACUUUCAAGGAAGAAUAAGGGAGUCAGGGGCUCUGUCUCUUUUAUCUUGAGUCCCACCAGGAGCCCCUGAUAAAUUUGGAGGUGGGACCUAAACAUGAGCUUAUCACUUUUUUAGUUGAUUCAGGGGCUGCUCACUCCUCUGUUUGUUUCCCCUCGUCUAAUGUUGUCUCCUCCUCAGAGGAACUUUUAGUCUCCAGGGUAAAAGGGGAAGGGUUUAGAGCAAACAUUUUAGAAAGCACAGAAGUUAGAUACGAGGAUCACUCAGCUCAUAUUCAGUUCUUGUUAAUCCUUGAAGCAGGAACUAAUUUACUGGGGAGGGAUUUAAUGUUAAAGUUGGGCAUAGGUCUACAAGUCAGCCCAAGAGGAUUCCUCACUUCAUGAAACCUACCCACCAAUGCGGAUGAAAAAUAUAUUAAUCCUAAUGUCUGCCCAAAGAAGGAAACUGAGGGAAACUCCAAGUCCCUCUGAUCCACAUCAUGCUAAAAACCCCGGGAGAAGUAGUAAGAAGGAAGCAAUACCCUAUUCCCCUAGAAGGUAGGAUAGGGUUGAAACCUAUAAUCAAAGGCCUUAUUAAGGACAGGUUUCUCAAGCCCCGUAUGUCUCCAUAUAACACCCCAAUACUGCCAGUCAAGAACAGACGGGUCAUACCGGCUAGUACAGGACCUUAGAGCUAUCAACCAAAUAGUCCAGACUACCCACCCCAUUGUCCCCAGUCCUUACACCAUUCUUAGCAAGAUUCCAUAUAAUCAUCAAUGGUUUACUGUAAUAGAUUUGAAGGAUGCUUUUUGGGCAUGUCCCCUGGCUGAAGACAGCUGAUAUAUUUUGAAUGGGAGGAUCCCCACUCAGGGCGGAAACAACAAUAUCAAUGGAUGGUCUUGCCUCAAGGGUUCACAGAUUCCCCUAAUCUUUUUGGCCAAAUUUUAGAACAAGUACUAGAAAAAGUUGUCAUCCCAGAACAAAUAUGCCUUCUUCAGUACGUGGAUGACAUUCUUAUACCUGGUGAAGAUACAGAGAAGGUAACUGACUUCUCUACACAUAUUCUUAACCAUCUGCAGUUUGAGGGGCUACAAGUCUCAAAAAGAAAGCUUCAGUAUGUAGAGCCCGAAGUUAAAUAUUUAGGCCACUUGGUAAGUGCAGACAAGUGAAGAAUAGGGCCUGAAUGAAUCGAGGGAAUCAUGUCCCUACCCUUGCCUCAAACUACCAAGAAUGAAAAACUUGCCCAGCAGAAGCCUAACCAUCUCCUGUGGACUUCUGAGGAAGUUUAUCAAGUUGAGGAGCUGAAGAAAAGGCUCAUAGCUACCCCUGCUUUAGCCUUACCCUCCCUAGAAAAGCCAUUCCACCUUUUUGUUAAUGUGGACAGUGGGGUAGCUUUAGGAGGCUGACUCAAGAACACGGAGGCCACCAGCAGCCUGUAGCCUUCCUAUCAAAGGUCUUAGACCCAGUCACUUGUGGAUGGCCUCAAUGCAUCCAGUCUGUCAUGGUUACAGCAAUACUAGUCGAGGAAAGCAGAAAGUUAACCUUUGGAGGAAAAUUGACAGUAAGCAUGCCUCACCGAGUUAGAACUAUCUUAAACCAGAGAGCACGGAGAUGGCUUACUGACUCAAGAAUCUUAAAGUAUGAGGACAUUCUGUUAGAAAAGGAUGAUUUAACAUUGACCACUGAUAAUUCACUCAAUCCAGCAGGUUUCCUAACAGGGAAUCCAAAUCUAAGGAGGGAACACACAUGUUUAGAUUUUUUAGACCAGACAUAGGAGAAACCCCCUUCUGGACUGGACAGCACUUAUUCAUAGAUGGUUCCUCCUGGGUGAUUGAGGAAAAAAGACAAAAUGGGUAUUCAGUGAUUGAUGGAGAAACUCUUACAGAAAUAGAAUCAGGAAAAUUGCCCAACAGUUGGUCUGCUCAAACGUGUGAGCUGUUUGCACUCAGCCAAUCCUUAAAGUAACAGAACCAGGAAGGAACCAUCUAUACAGAUUCCAGGUAUGCCUUUGGAGUGGCCCAUACAUUUGGGAACAUUUGGACUGGACGAGGUCUCAUUAAUAGUAAAGGUCAAGGCCUUGUUCACAAGGAGCUGAUCACUCAAGUAUUGAAUAAUCUUCAGUUGCCGGAAGAAAUAGCUAUUGUCCAUGUUCCCAGCCACCAGAAAAGCCUUUCUUCUGAAAGUCGAAGAAAUAACCUAGCAGAUCAGGUAGCUAAGCAGGCUGCUGUGUCUUCUGAAAUGCGUAUUUUUCACUUAACUCCCUGUCUCCCUCCUCUUACAGUAAUCCCCAUUUUCUCUUCCACUGAAAAAGAAAAACUAAUAAAAAUAGGCGCUAAAGAGAAUUCAGAAGGAAAAUGGGUACUGCCAGACCAGAGAGAAAUGUUGAAUAAACCCCUUAUGAAGGAAGUCUUACCCCAACUACAUCAGGGGAUCCAUUGGGGGCCCCAAGCCAUGUGUGAUGCAGUUCUCAGAGUUUAUGGUUGUAUAGGGACUUUGUAUGUCUGCAAGGGGACAGAGAUGGGGGAGAAAUUAAAAUACGGACUGGGUAUUAGCUGCUAUAAGGAUUUUUGUUAAUUUUGUUAGUGUGAUUAUGUCAUUGUGGAUACAUUAAAAACAGUGCUUUAAUCUGUUAGCAAGAAAACAUUUUACAUGAGGUGAUAAGACACCUGGGGCAGUGCUAAAAUAUUCCUGAUAAUGACAAAAGUGUGUGUGUGUAGAAAAAGCAAGAUGGAAAAAUGUGCACAAUUACUGAAACUGAAGGAUGAAUAUGUGGGUGUUCAUGGUAUUCUUCCUUGACUUCCUGCAAGUUAGAACAUUUCCAUAAAGUAACAAAAAGUUAAAAUAUAUAAUGUAUGUAUGGAGUUCUGAAAUUAUAAAUGGCUUCAAAUACAGAAAAACUUCUUAAAUUCCUCCAUUGCCCAAGGAAUAAAUGUCCAGUGGUAAAAAAUUCAGGGAGAUAGGCAAGGAUGAUGUCUUCAUCUAUUUGUUCUGCUAUAACAAAAAUACCUGAGACUGGGUAAUUUUAAAAGGACAUAAAUUUAUUUCACAUACUUCUGGAGGCUGGGAAGUCCAAGAUCAAGCCACUGGCUUGUUUGGUGUCUUGCAAAGGCUGCUCUAAGCAUCCACGAUGGCGCCUUGUUGCUGAGUUCUCUGGAGAGGAGGAACCCUGUGUCCUCACAUGGUGAAAGUCAAGAGAGCCAAAUGCUGCACAAAGCCUCUUUCAUAAGGGCCUUAAUCCCAUUCAUGAGGGAGCACCCUUUUGACCAAUCACCUCUUAAAGGUCCCACCUCUUAAUGUUAUCACUAUCAGUUUAAAUACCUGAAUUUUUGAGGGGACACAUUCAAACCACAGCAGAGAAGGACUCAUGGGAGAAGAGACUGUCACCUGCCUGAUUCAGACCCAUGGUUUUCUGUUUGCCCAACCAUCUACUUGGGACUCUACCUGAAUUCAUUCUUAUUGGCCAGGUCUUCACUUCUUGCCAGCAGCACAGCAGGAGGACAAAGCAGAGGGUCCCGUCUCCUUGGCUCACUGCUGUGCUCCCUCCAGCUGAGGGAGAAGGACCUUAUAAAAGUCUUAAGUGUCCCAGCCUUGGUCUCCAGGACAGUGUGGAAUGUCAGGACCUGUGACAUCAUGACCAGGAAGGGAGCUGCUGGCAUCUUGCCUGGGCUGAGCAGAGUUUCUAUCCAGUCUAUGACUGGGUAGGAGGGAGGAGGUUGGUGGGAGUCUUAAGGUAACAGAGAUCCUCUCUCCCAUUGCUUUUUAUGGUGACUUCCUCCAUCCUGAGGACUCUGAAGACUGAAGGGGUAGACACUAAUUAGAACUCUAAGUGCCAGUAGCCAAAAGCCAACAAAAUCUGCUCCCAUGGAAAGAGGUGUAUUUGAAGGAUGCUGGAGAGGUCAUUGAGUUACAGAGCAAGUGCCAGAACCAACAGAUCCAGAGGGUCUAAUCACCUCUUAAAGGCCCCUUGAGGAACAGAGCCUUGAAGAACAGAGGCCCGUGGCCCCAUGUCCCUUUCCACUCUCUCCCACCCUCAAAGUUCCAGGGUGGUGAAGAACAGGAGACAGAUGACCCAGGUUUCAGCAUCCUUUCCCUCAAACCUUCUUUCUCAGCAUCAGUCCCAAUCUCCCCUUGGCAGUGAGACUUUCAUCACAAGAGGAGAACAUGGCUGCAUUUCCAUGUUAUCAUCCUCCCAGCUUGAUUUCCUAGACUUUCUAGAGCUUUCUUCAUCAGCACAGUGACAAACCCCAAAGGAGUCACUCUGGUUGACCCCCCUGGAUCCUAUCUCACCCCUGGACUGACUCCUAUGUCCAGGGCUCAGAGUGGGGCACCUGGUUUAGACUGGGCCAGGAGUGGGGUCCCGGGUGAACAGCCCUCAAAUCUCAGCUCCAUGGUAGAGAGGGAGAAAGAAGUGGUCCUGAAUGUACAACCGUGCCUCCUGAGACCAGGUCAGGACCCUAAGGAUGGCUUGACCACCAGGGAUCUUUGACCCUAUUUUUUUAUUGCUGAUAUGGGGGUUUGAAAAGACUUUCUCACUUUAAACAUUAUUUUUCACCUCGGAAUUCUUGUUUGAUUCAAUUUCAAUUAGCUGGGCUUUAUGUUUUAUUAUUACAUUUUCAUUUCCCUUAAAAUGAAUGCAUGGAUAUUAUAAUCUGUGACUUCACUGUGUAUCAUUCUAACAAUGAAAUGAUUGGGAAUGAUACACUUGGCUCAGGCUGUCUUUUCCUCAGAAUUUCUUAAAAAUAAUAUUUUAUUUUUUGGAGUAGUUUUAAGUUAACAGAAAAAUUGAACAAAAAGUUUCCAUAUACCUCCUUAUAAAUUUUAGAGAAAUACUGAAUGUUGCUGUGGAGAAGUCUGAGGCCAAUGUGAUUACCGUUCUCUGCUGUGUGAGAUUUACUUUGCUGUUUGAACACGUGAAGUAUUAUUUCCUUAUCUUGAAGUUCAAUAGCAUAAUUAGGAUUUAUCUUGAUGUUUUUAUUCCCCAUUAAGUUUCACAGAAAAAAAGGUAUGUUUGAUAUGCAAAUUUAAACUUUUAGUUUCAAGAACUUCUCUUAUCUUAAUCUUUGCAUGUACCAUCAGGUAUCUGUUUGGUUCUUGACUCAGGGACACUGGUUUUUCUUAUAUUGGACUUUCAUUGUCUGUCUUCAAUGUCUAAUAGCUUUUCACUGACUAAUGUUACUCCUUUGUCUUUUUCACUUCUAUUCAUUUUGUUUUUGUCCAUGCAAGUCAUUUAAUUUCUAGAAAUACCUAUAUUAUUUCUUGUUUCUAUUCUCUAUUGUAAUAUUGUUAGAUCCUCAAUUUAAUUAUGCCCCUCUAUAUCAAUUCUAUUGUGUUUUGUUCAUCUUUGGGCUUUUUUGUAAUGUGUCAGUUUUUCCAUCCCAUGAAGAAUUGAGAGGACUUUCCUCUGUCUUUUGUAUUGUGUUUCCUCUGUGUUGUUGUUUUGGUUGGCCUUUUGCCUGGUAUUCUUUUUCUUUGAUUGCUAUUGUUUUAAUAAGUUUGUGCUAUUCCGUGUAUUUCUUUUCACUUUGCUUGUAUUUGGGCAUGUCUCUCAGAUGUUAUUAUGAUACACAGUGAAUGACCAUUUGGUCCUCUUCCAAUCUUCUUUAAGUCAUAUUUGUUUUCUCCUCACAUUCCUGUACCCUAUUCUAAGCAAGAGUUUGAGGACUGGGUUGUGUAGGCUGCCUCAUUUUCUAUGGCCUAAAGAAAUGGAGUUGGGGAAAGAGGGUGGAACAAAGAAGGUGCGGUAAUAAUGUCACAUUUUUUGAAUUUCUAAGUUCAUAGAACAAAUUUCUGCUCCCGAAAAACAUGAUAAGAAAAAAUAGAGGUUUCAAACCACUGGGAGGAGAUGAGAUCAUUAGACCGUUCAUCUUUAUGUAACCAGACUCCUCAGUUAAAGGUCAUUUUCAAAGCACACCUGCACUUGUUUUUUUCUUAUGAAAAUAUCCUGUAUAUCCUUAAUUUGGCAAUAUAAAUGUGACCAAUUGUUUUAAAAACAGAAGUGAUGCUGGAUAUUAAAAUGUAAACUGUUUUCUAAAUGAAAAACUUAAAGGAAUGUAAUUAGAGAAGUAUAAACAGUGGUUAAUAUGCUGCUUCUUGAAAAGACAUAUUACAACUUACAGUCUUUCUUCAUAAGUGUAUGUUGUUACUGUUUAAUCAGGAGUGUGAUUGUAUUCAGCUGUUAAGCAAUCCUAUUAGCUGGGAAAUUGCAUUAUUAUUUGCUGGUCUGUUUAUGUUAUAUUGUUGUUGGCACUCUAAGUUUCUCUUUUUUCUCCAAGCCUUUCUUACUCUGGUCUCUGUAAUCUGUAUAAUUGUCUUUUUUAACUUUUAUCUUUAGAAAAUAUUGAAUAGAGAUACUGGGAGUGAUUAACUGUGUCAGAAUCACAAAGUUCUAGUGCUUUUCAGAUUAAUCCUGGAGACAUUAUGUUGCUGUUUUAAAAGACAGAAGGACCUAGAUCCAUCAUGGAGUGCCACAGCAGGGUUGUGGCCAAUGGUCCUUCCUGCCUAGGGAGAAUCCACAAAUGGUAUCUAGGAAGACCUGCUGCUGACCAGACCAAGGCCACUUCAGUGCAUGACAUCUUCUUGGACUCAUCAACCUUGACCUCAAUGGUCAGAGAUCUCUCUACUAGUAAUUCUAAGUGUUGGCAACAAAAAUGAAGAGAGCAAAAUAGGGAGUGCUCUCUAUUCUGGGGAAGCAACAGUGGAAGAUUUGCCUGAGUAAGAAAAUCUCCUAAAAGUUUUCUGUGUCCAUCUAAACAUUCAUACAUUCAUACAUACUUCAUUCCUUUGUUCAUUCAUUUAUUUUCCUUGUCUUCUCAUAGAAUAUGUUUUCUGAGAUCAGGUUACUAUGUUGCUGUUACAGGAAAUCGGAUUAAUUUUAAAUUUCUAUAUGCAAUAAAACAAAAGCCUUUGACAUCUCCCUUUUAUUUUCAACAGUUAAUGAGUUUAGAAGCUCAUUGAUACGGUUUGGCUGUGUCCCCACCAAAAUCUCAUAUUGAAUUCCCACGUGUUGUGGGAGGGACUCAGUGGGAGGUAAUCGAAUCAUGGGGGCAGGUCUUUCCCAUGCUGUUCUUGUGGUAGUGAAUAAGUCUCAUGAGAUCUAAUGGUUUUAUAAAGGGGCGUUUCCCUGCAUGAGCUCUCUCUCUUUGCCUGUCACCAGCCAUGUAAGACAGGACUUGCUCCUCCUUGCCUUCCACCAUCAUUGUGAGGCCUCCCAAGCCACAUGGAACUGUGAGUCCAUUAAACCUCUUUUUGUGUAUAAAUUACCCAGCUCUGGUAUGUCUUUAUCAGUAGCAUGAAAAUGGACUCAUACACUCAGUUUUAAAACAAGUUACAUGAAGUUGCAGAGCUCUUUAAGAAAGCCAUGACUUGCCCAGACAAAUCAGUACUAGUGUGUUAACUGAACUCAAUUUGAUUUUUCUGGGCUUUGCUUUGUAUUGGCCCCUUCUUGUUAAAUAAAAAUAAGAAAUUAAAUAAAAAUGUUAACAAAUAGUUUUGACAAAACUGAAUAUAAUACACAAAACAUUGUGAUGCAGCUUAAAAUUUAAAAAGAAAAAAAGAACAGCUUCAAGAGAAUUAAGUACUAAUUAAGUACUAAGAGAGCAAUCAUCAGAGCUAGAUACAAAACAUCUAAUAUCUUUUGAGAAACAUUCCUUAUGUUACCCAAUUCUUCCUUACACAUCUUACUGGCUAAUUGAGAAAGCAAUGCAUUAAAAUCACAUUGAAAUGAAUUAAUAUGAUAACUGGAAGCAAUGAGAGGUAACUGAGACAUAAUUGCAAAUGCAGAAUUUUUUUCAAUUUGAAAUUGAACAUUUAACAACCAAUUUGGAAUUUUCUAUUUUUGAAAAUCCAGUAGCUCUUGGAGUGAAUAGACCAAAUGACUCCAUUUUAAUAGGUCUCAUCAUUGAUCUCUGCUUAUGAAAUUUGCUUCAUUGCCUUUGUGUACCUGAGACUGAAAUGCAGAGCUGUUCUGGAGCCUCCAGGUAGUCCAGGAUUUCAGUGCAAACUUGUCUUACACAAAGAGGUCUGUAAAAAUAAUCUGGCUGCUAUGAUUUGAAUGUCCUCUCCAAAACUCAUGUUAAAGUUUAAUUGUCUUUGUGAUGGUAUUAAGAGAUGGGACCUUUAAGAGUUAAUUAGGUCAUGAGGGCUCUGCCUUCCUGAAUAAGUUAAUGCCAUUAUCAUAGGAGUAAGUUUGUUAUCUCGGGAAUUCAGCCCCCUUUCUCUCUGUGUCUUGCACCUGCCUCACCAUGUGAUGCCUUCUGCCAUGUUAGGAUGUAGCAAGAAGGCCCUCACCACCUGUGGCCGUACAGUCUUGGACCUUCCAGCCUACAGGACCCUGAGACACACAAAUCUCUCUUCUUUAUAAAUUACCUAGUCUAUAGUAUUCUAUUACAGCAGCAAAAACAGACUAAGACACUGGUCUUUUACUUUUGAUUUUGUUUCUAUUGAUUUUUACUAGGUACAUCUAAUUUCACCUCUUGAAGAUGGCUGACAUGGUCACUGAACUGAAGCUUUGUGGUGAAGAAACUAUUAAGCAAAUGGGGAGGAAGAGCCAUACAAUUUCACUUUAGUGAGGAGCUAAGAACUAAUUUUAUUCCAAAAUCAAACUCAUGCCAAAAACGGGCCAAUGCAAUCAUUUAGGGAUAAAGAACCUAGAGUUUCAGGCAUGAGUGGAAAUGUGCUGAGGGGUCCAGAACAUGCCACUCCAAAAAAACCCUCCUUGGCAUAAGGAUUGUUUUGAGCUGAAGGCAAUUGAGAAUCAACAGAUGCAGGAAAAAUUCUCUACCCUUUCUUUUGUGCCUAAAAGCAAUACAUAAACUUGUCUUUGUGAAAAUGACAUGAGUUUUUCCCUCUCCUGAACCAGGAUGAAGAGAGCUACCCUUAUCACCACAUAUGGAGAGCCAGCACCAAGAUGAUUUUGUUCACAGACUCCAGCCACUGAUCAAAAGAGGGUGGAGGAAAUGUUUUCCAACCCUACAAUGCACACUGUAUCUCUGUGCAGCAUACACCUCUGUACGACAAUUUCCCUUGUUGUUUGCCUGAAGACACAUGAGCUGCAACUCUGAAUCGGGAAAUAGAACUUCAAUCACUUUCGUGGAGCAAUUGGGGAAUGAAACAACCUUGCAUGCUCCUCUGAGGAGUAUGCCAUGAGAGCUCAGAGGCUACUAUUAUUGGCUGAACAUUGGUGUCAAAAUCUUGAUUGAUGUCCAAAUGCUUCUGGUCUCAUCCUAGACUUGUGAGGUGUGAUCUCCAUAGGUCUAUUCCCAUCCCUUUCCCCUCCACCACGCCUAGUCCCACAUUCUUUUCUGCAUGCAGUGUGCUCUGCUCUAUUGAUCACCUUAACCCAGCUGUGCGCACUCUUCCACUUGUCCUGAAAACAGCACACCCACGUAGCCUUCUUCGGUGAUGUCUGGGCCAUGUGUUGGUGUUGUGCACACUCUUAUUAUGAUCAUUUGAACUCUUAUAACACAUUGUUUAACACAUGUGAAAACGUAAGACAAACUUGCAGGUUUCAGUUAUUUAAAGAUAAACCACGAUAUAAAUGUUCAUAUCUAUUCAAUAUAUUUAAGAUAAGCACUUCAAAUUCUCAUUUAAAUAUCUUAGUCUUGCUUCAUCUAUAAAGUCAUAACUUUAUUAGUUAAAAUGCUUAUUUGGAUAAUUUCAGACUUUCAAAAAGGUUGUGAAAAUUGUACAAAGAUUUUCUAAAUACUCUUCACUUAGAUUCCUGAAAUAUUCCUACAUUAGCAUUCUCUCUCUCUCCUCUCCUCUCUGUCUCUCCUCUCCUCUCUUGUCUGUCCUCUCUCUCUCUCUCAAGGUUCUACAAUUACUGAUCCUGACACUUAGGAUGUGAGUUUAGGUAGAGAUUUGGGAAGUUCAAGAUUGCUCAUCAUUUUAUCUGGUAAUGUCUUUUGCUCAAGUGACACCUUUUACUUCAACUGCUAUUGUUUGCCUCACUAGUUUCACUUGUGGGAUUUUUCAAAAAUGCAUCAUGAUUGAUAGAGUUAAAAUUAAUCUUUCUUGAUGUAAAGCAUAUUGUGUUCAUUGCUGUGGGCCUGCUAUGUUUAGUAUUGCAAUGCCAGUGGGUUUAUAUCACCUACCAGUUUAUCUUGUUAUAACUCAUCUGACUGCUUUAUCUCUGUGAGGUAGCUGUUUAGAGCUUGGGUUCUGAAGUCAGAUGAUUUGAGUCUGACUCUUGGCUUUAGUUCCUGAAUCCUGGACAAAUACCUUCACCUCCCUGGGCCUUCCCUUCCACAUCUUCCAGAUGUGCACAUGGUAGUGCUUAUCUCAUAGGAUUUUGUGUAUGUGUGAGGAUUGAGUCAGACAAAUAGGAAGUGUUCAGUAUGUUGUCCAUUGUUACAUUAAUCUAAAAAGAACAUUGGAUAACAUUUGAAUAUCUUCUGUGCCUAAAAUGUCUAUAGCCUUUCUCUUAUUUAUUUGUAAUUCUCUGCUGUUUGAGUUUCUGACAGGCUCUAUAUUUCUAAGCUUUUAUUUAGUCUUGAUUAAUUUUAGUGAAGUUUUUCUUCAAUUUAGUCAAAAUAAUGUAUUUACCAUAGGAAGUUAAUAGUUAAAGAUAAUUGUUAUGUUUGAUCUUUACGUAAUUAAAACUUGAGAAUUUUAUCCUUUCAGUUCCUAUGUAGGUUAGUUUUUCCUCAAUAUGGCUAAUGUGGGUGGUAUCUUGGAUUGAAAUAUCUUAUUUCCUCAAGUGUACAAUCCAUUUUAAAUAGCAAUUUGUGUGGUUGGUAACCAUUAACUUGAUAGAAACGUUAGGUCUGAAUCUGUCUCUACAAAAUUCAUGUGUUUGGAACUUAAUUUCCAGUGGGGUAGUGUAUUAACUCAUUUUCAUAGUGCUAUGAGGAAAUACCCAAGACUGGGUAAUUUAUAAAGAAAAAGAGGUUUAAUGGACUCACAGUUCCACAUUGCUGGGGAGGCCUCACAAUCAUUGUGGAGUGUAAAGGAGGAGCAAAGGCACAUCUUACAUGGUGGCAGGCAAGCGAGCGUGUGGAGGGGAACUGCCCUUUAUAAAACCAGCAGAUCUCAUGAGACUUAUUCACUAUCACGAGAACAGCAUGGGAAAAACUCAACCCUAUGAUUGAAUUACCUCCCACCAGGUCCCUCCCAUGACACGUGGGGAUUAUGGGAGCUAAAAUUCAAGGCGAGAUUUGGGUAGGGACACAGCAAAAACAUAUCUGGUAGUAUUAAGAGGUGGGAUCUUUAGGAGGUGAUUAAGUCACGAGCAUGGAGCUCUUAAGAAUGGAAUUAGUGACCUUACAAAAGAUGUGUGAGGGAGCUGUUUGCUGCUUCCACCUCUUCUGCCAGGUGAGGAUGCAGCAACAGGAAAACAUGUUGGAAGCAGAGAGAAGUCCUCACCAGACACUGAAUCUGCCAAAACCUUGAUCUUGAACUUCCCAGCCUCCAGAACUGUUCAAAAUAAAUUUCUGUUCUUUCUAAAUUAUCCAGUCUGUGGCAUUCUGUUAUAGCAGCAGGAAUGGACUAAGACAAUUUUAUUGAACAUCUAUCUAAAGAAAUGCUACUUCCUUUACUCAAAAAUAAAACAUGAAGUUUCUGCGGGUCAGGAAGACCUCUUAGACCAAGUCAUUGGUCUGACUAUGAGAUUCAACUUCCAGGAUCCUUUUCUGAGUCUUGCUUCUCUCUCUCUGCUAAAUUUAAGCGCUCCUGUUCACCGUGGAGUCACUAUGUUUAAGUAGAGCCCUGCGGCUCUCACACUGCAUGUCUGUUUGGAUGCUCUUGGGGGCCUUGCAGGAGUUUUAAUGUGGACUGAUGUAGGCAUGAGGAUUCUCAGAGCCCCAUGGUAUGUUUGCCGUGCAGUGAAACUUGAGGACCACGGCCUACCCAACCUCUGAUUCUCUGCAGCAACCCCCAGGGUCACGUGGGGACCUGCAAAGUUUGUUCUAAAAUUGAGGUGAUGAGAGGGGGCUGAGUUCGGAGUGCUACCUCCUUCCACACCAGCUCUACACACUCAUCUCCCCUCCACACUCACACUCCUCUGUGCAGUAGUGCAGGCUCCAAGAAAUUCCCUUAGAAAGAACUCCGCUUAACUUUGCUCUAUACAGCAUUUCCAAACUUAAUAUCAAAUUAGUGCUGUGGUAAUACGUGGGCUUAUUUUAUUAACACAUUAAAUAAGGAUUAGUGGCUAUUUCAAAACACCUGCAACAGCUUAACAUGUGAAAUAUAUGGUUUCUGUUGGUGACAAAGGUACGGGUACCGUGGUUUGUUAGUUGCAUUUAUAAUUAAAGGAAGAGCUAAAUUUCAAAUAAAAAUUACUGAAAAUAAACAUGAGAUUAUUUUUUAUCCCAAAUUCACAGACCCCCUCCCAACCCCACCUUCCUGCCCCAUGCUGCACUCUCUGUCCAUGGGCCCUGGUUAAGGGAAACCCAAGUUGGAACAGGACUCAGGGCUUUUCUUUGACCUGGCUUUUUACAAACACAAGAAAUGCAUGGGCUGGGCAUGGCGCUGGUGUGAGAGCUGCACUUUCUGUAGUGACCCGAAGCCUGAAUUCACCUCGACCUCCAGUUCCUCCUGCCUGGGAGCUGGUGAAUGCCCGUUGGAUCCAUUGGAAGGGGUGAAUCUCCCUCUUGGCUGUCUCUGUCCAGAGCUGUUCCUCAGGGACUUCCUUGCAUUGGGCUCCUGCCAGUCUCAGGGACUUCUCAGUCUCUCUGUUGAUGGCCCAUCAGAGCUCACUCCACUUGUGAAGGCUUUCUCCUGUCAUCCUUCCUGGAAGCUCUUUGAAUACCGACCACGGCUGAGCACUGCACUGCCUCCCUGCCCAGCUGCCACUGGGCUUGGAUGAUUUUCAACCUCAACAUGAAAGGGAAACUUUCAGAUGGCAUCUGGGCUUUGCUAUUUCUGGUGUGGUGUCAUUAAAAGCUGCCUCAGUCUAGCAUCUGUGAUUUCACUUUUUGAUAUAAAAAAGAUAUGAACUGUUAGUGCAAUAGUGCAGAGAAUGAUAUCCAACUUUUAUUUUAUGUAUAUAUUUUAUUUGUGUCUCAUAAAGGGGUUCAGGACACAAUAACCCAAAGCAUGGCACUUUGACAUUUGAGAAAACAGCAGAAGCAGGAAGGUCUCUCUCAUCUUACUCUGCCCUUCUACCCUAAAGCAGGUCAUGAGACCCUCAUUCAAGAAGUACACACCCUAUACCCAAAGAAAAGAAACAUUCUUAUCUCUGAAGACACAGAGACACACAGAGAAUAAUCUGAACACACCAGUCUUACUAAGCCACCCUAUGCCUCCCAGGUUACCACCGUUCGAUCACGCUCCCUUUGUCCAGCCAUACUUCCCCGAGACUGUCUACUCUUCAUCAAACCUAGCAUAAAAAACAUGUUUCCCUAUUUCUUUGGGUCUUUAUUUCUGAAGACUCCCAUGUCACAUACAAAUUAUAUUAAAUACACUUGUCUGCUUUCUUCUUCUUAAUCUGUCUUAUAGGAGCCUCAGGCAUAAACUUAGCAAAGGGUGAGAAAAUAUGUAUCUUUUUAUUCCCUACAUUUGUAUUUAUGUUGAAAUGCAAAGACAGGCAAAAAUAGAGGGCUAUACGAAUUCAGCAGGAUUCUAAAUUAUUAACUUGGAAAGUACUUUCAAACUCUGGAGGAAAGUUUCUAAUUACUUUUGGAAGGAAAGGCAGUAUUAUGUAAGAAAACCACAUUUUCUAUCAUGCAUUACUAAACUAACUACGGAAGUCACAUCCUUAUGCCUUUUUGUAGCUAACAUUGUUUCUGACCCCUAAGAACUGACUGAAGCAAACAGAUCAAGUUGAUUCAGUGUUAGGUAAAUAGGAGGGUGGUGAGAUUUUAAGAUAAACUUACCAGAGCAAGAAAGGAUCAGUGCUUCAAACAGGUGCAAAACAAGUAGGGGAAAGGUAGAAUUAAGCACUCUUGUUUUCAAGUUACAAAACGUUCACAUUUGUUUCUAAUGUUUACUUAAACACUCUAAUACCCUAAAAAAUCGACAUCCUUGAAUUUGAAGGUCAGUAAAAUAUAAAUAACACAGUUACUGCUUUUUGGAAUAUCUCUGUGGAUUCAUUCAGCACUCUUGCUAUUUAUUUAUUUAUUUAUUUAUUUAUUUAUUUAUUUAUUUAUUUAUUUUGAGAUGGAGUCUCGCUCUGUCACCCAGGCUGGAGUGCAGUGGCGCGAUCUUGGCUCACUGCAACCUCCGCCUCCUAUGUUCAAGUGAUUUUCUUGCCUCAGCCUCCCGAGUAGCUGAGACUACAGGCGUGUGCCACCACGCCCAGCUAAUUUUUGUAUUUUUAGUAGAGAUGGGGUUUCACCAGAGUUCCAGGCUGGUCCGGAACUCCUGACCUCGUGAUCCACCCGCCUCGGCCUCCCAAAGUGAUGGGAUUGCAGGUGUGAGCCACCGAGCUUGGCCGCUCUUGCUAUUUUAUUUCUUUUAUUGUUUUGCUAAGAAUUUUAAAAAUUUAAAUGUUUACCAUAUAAAAUAUCUUACUGCCUUGGCAUUUUUAUACCAUACAUCUCAGAAUAUUAUAAUUUGUUAGUUUAUCUUGUAAAUUAUCCCUUGUUAUACAGAGAAUCUGACCAACUCACCCAUUCCCUGGUCCAGUUGCCAUUUUAUUUUCUCUAGGAGAUUUCUCUUUGGAGAAAUAUCCUGGUAGCUGCCUGCAUGAUUGGCAAAUUGAAGUUGGAAUUUUUUAUGGUCUGUAUUAAUUGAUCUGAUUCUUAGAAAUUAAUUCCCUUCCUAAGAAAAGUACCCUCUUCAUUUCUGCUUUUUGCAAGGAGUCAUUGGCAUUUGUCCAACAGUUAAUGAGAAAUUAUUAUAUAAUUACAUUUAACUUUUUUCUCAAUUCUUUCUGUGUUUGACAUAAUGUUGAAAAAGAAACUUGAAUGGAAAAUGCAUCAAUAAAAUAAAAGCAUAUUGCAAUUAUAUUCUGACCUUGGCUUUUCCCUCUAUAUUUCUCACAGGUUAAUUAUAUUCUAAAGCAUACCAAGCUCUUCGUGUUUGCUGCUGGAGUGACUGUGUGUUCCCUUGCCCUUAGAUGAAGAAAUGCUUUCAAAACCUCUGAAGAUGCCUGAAUGGUCUGAGGGUAUCGUGCAGCAGUUUUUGGUGUUACUGACGACCAGCUCUGACGAGAGUCUUCGGUUUCUUAGCUUCAGGCUGGACUUCAACGAGCAUUACAAAGCCAGGGAGCCCAGGCUCCGCGUGUCUCUGGGUACCAGGGGGCGGCGCAGCUCCCACACGUGAAGCUCGCGGUCCUCCCAGGGAGCUGCGGGUGAUGUUCGUUGCACUGCUAGACACGAAAUUCCCAUUGACGUCCUGCAGGAACUGCAUGCUGCAGGUGUCCUGCCCUUCCGCCCACGAGUGCGCCAUGUUUCAGCGGAGCGGCGUGUGGGAGAAGCCACGUCGUGUUGCACACGUCGGAGUUGAAUGCAUUUGUAAAUCACUAAGUCAAGUAGGCUGGCUGCACUGUUCACAUUUGUCUCUAAAAGUCUUCAUCCCCAAAAGAUACCAUAAUUUGCUGAGGCUUCUGAAUCUUAAGUGCUCUAAGUUAUAACUUAUAUUUGUCACUUUAAAAGAACUGUUUGUUUAGCAAAAUCUACAGCAAGGGUAUAUUUAUAAAGUGAUAAUGUCAUUGCUGUUAUUUAGCAUCCUCUUCAGAAACUUUUUUUUGCAAUAUUAUUAGAUUAAACUGAAAUACAUAGAAAAUAUAGAGAGCAUUUUAUUAUCUUGGUAUUCAAGGUUGUAAAGUGUGAAAAUUUUUGUAUCUUACAUAUAUCUAUUCUUUUCUCUCUCCUUUCAAGGUUUACACUUACAGAUUUAAUUUACUAUUCUAGAUAACUUCUAAAAUAGUACAGAACACGAGUAGGAGUGUUGUGGAACAAAAACAUCCUUAAACUUAAAUUUCUUGACGCCACCAGCUGAAGCAGUGUGGCAACAGGAAUGACUAGAAAGUUAACAAAGUAUUUUAUUUUUACAAUUUUGAUGAGCAUUAUAAAGAAAUCGAUUUGGAUAAUGAAGGUUUCUUUUUUCUUUGACUAAUUUUUCCUUGUAAAUAUUUAUAUACUAUUGACCAGAUGCUGGGGAGAACGGUGUCUGUAAAAAGUCACGUCAUAUCAGCUUGCCUUUAUUAUGCUGUAUAAGUGAAAACUUAGAAAACUGAAAGCAAUUAUCUUUCAAAGCAUUGGCUGUUUUUUGAAUAGUCUAUUAAGUGACAGUUCAUUUGCCAGGGGGGCGGGGAUUGACAGGAUUUGAUUUAAUGUAGUACAGCAUAUGAAUUAUUUAAUCAUAAUUAGAAACCAAGAAAUUAGAUUUUGUGUGACUUUCGGUGUAGAAGCAAACGCAAUGUCACCACUCAGGUCUCAGGAGCGGUGCUUUAGUUAUCUGAAUCUGCCUCUGACUCCUUUAGGUGUGGAUUCCCUUUAAAACUAAAGGGGCCAUCAAGAAUCCUGGCCAUGCAGAAAUGAUUCCAUGGCAAAGGCCAGAAAUUCUUAGGAUAAAAACUUAAUUUAAUUUUAGUUUUCAAGUUCAUAAAAUCAGAAAUUUGAAACAGAUUUCUCCACUGCAAGUUGUCCUAGAAAUUAUGGCGUAUUGUGUAUCUCCGAGAGAGGUUUACCAAGGUUAUUAACCAUGCAGCCAGCUUUUAUUUUAUUUUAUUCAGAGAGUUGUUCCAGGGAUUAAUCCUCGGUAGAAACCACCCUAGCAAAGGCCCACCUCGAUUUUAGGGAUUACGACUCCAUUGGAGUGUAGGAGUCACCAGGACUUAGGUCAGAUCUGUGGGCUAUGGAGGGCUUCCGGGAGGUGCGGCCCUGGGGGGUGCCUGCGGGUCUGGAGGGUGGGAGCUGGGAUGGGGUGAGGCCUCUGAGGAGCUGCGUGAGACCCACUCUCCGUCAUUGUGGGUGCACAAUCAGGCCCCUUAGGGAGCCAGGGCCCCAAAACCCAGCAUCAGCCAAGCAUGGAUGACUUGGGGGUUCCACACUGGGGUUGUGCGUAAAGGAGAGCUCCUCUCAGGGGUGGGUGCGCCCGGCCCGGGGGUGCCACGUCUUCACCCAGAAAACGAGGCCGAGUCUGCAGGGGCCCUGCUGCAUGGAUGGAGGUGUGGGUGGUUGGUAGGACCCCAGGC
rnacentral:lncRNA from 1 species